GAUGAACGCUAGCGGCAGGCCUAACACAUGCAAGUCGAGGGAGAAGCCUUCGGUCUUCGCCCGUCGUACGGGUGCGUAACGCGUAUACAAUCUGCCUUUCACAUACCGUUAGCCCGAAGUAAUUUGGAUUAAUACCUACUGGUAUAUAGUUGUGGCAUCACCUUUAUAUUAAAGCUGAGGCGGUUACAGCUGAGUAUGCUUUCUAUUAGCUAGUUGGAGAGGUAACGGCUCCCCAAGGCGACGAUAGAUAGGGGUUCUGAGAGGGAUAUCCCCCACACUGGUACUGAGAUACGGACCAGACUCCUACGGGAGGCAGCAGUGAGGAAUAUUGGACAAUGGUCGGAAGACUGAUCCAGCCAUGCCGCGUGCAGGAAGACGGCCUUAUGGGUUGUAAACUGCUUUUGCAGGGGAAGAAUAAGGACUACGCGUAGUUUGAUGACGGUACUCUGCGAAUAAGCAUCGGCUAACUCCGUG
rnacentral:rRNA from 1 species